rnacentral:rRNA from 1 species
CAGUGGACGCGAGCAUCUGUGGCCAAGUUUUUAAGGGCGCACGGUGGAUGCCUUGGCACCAGGAACCGAUGAAGGACGUGGGAGGCCGCGAUAGUCCCCGGG